AUACACAGGCUGAGUGGAGGUGAUGGAUGGUCUCAUCGUCUUGUUCACAGAGGGGGCAAUGCUCUGGAUGAGGGAGUCCUCUCCUGGCCAAUCUGUCCGCUGACCAGCAGCGGUUAUGAGCCACCAGCCAUAGGAAGAACAUGCAUUUUUUCGGAGCCCAAGUUCCCCAAAUCAGUUUGCUUGGUGCAAAGUAUACUGAUCCACUCAAAAAAGCCUCAGAUCUAGUGGUGAAUUGCCAGAGGCCUCUAAUUGCCAUUUAUGCACAUCUUCCACCUCUGGCUGUAAUAUUACUUCCUGAACCAAAUCCCACACAGCAAGGAAUUAUGAAGUUCCUGUUUGGUUAGCUCAAAAUUGCAGCAGUAUCAUCCGCUGAUUUGUCGAUUCAUGGCUUUGUUCCUUUUGCACAUAUAUUGUCUUAUUAGGCUUCCAUCUGUGCUGUGCGAUGGAUGGCAUGGUGUACAAGCUCGGUGACAGCCACAGAGGCAGGUGGUGGGUGGGAGAUCUUGGUCGCAGGAAUUGGCACUGGGCGGUCGAGCUCCUCUGCGAGCUUAGGGGGCUGGGUGGCUGUCUGUUGAUCUAGUUUGAUAGAGCAGACAGCAAGCAUAGGAUAAGGAUGAAGAUAACUUAGUCAUACCACAUCAUGCGGUAUUGUGUGUGUAUUUUUCUUUUAUUUUGUGUAAAAAAUCAAGUUGAAGUAACCAGCUGGCUCGAAACAGUGGCAAACGGAGAUGAAAUAUGAGCAUUUCAGUAGCGAAUUUGCAAUUAA